rnacentral:rRNA from 1 species
GCGUAUCAAUAAGCGGAGGAAAAGAAACUAACAAGGAUUCCCUUAGUAACGGCGAGCGAACCGGGAAGAGCUCAAAUUUGAAAUCUGGCGUCCUUCGGGCGUCCGAGUUGUAAUCUAUAGAGGCGUUUUCCGUGCCGGACCGUGUCCAAGUCCCUUGGAACAGGGUAUCAAAGAGGGUGACAAUCCCGUACUUGACACGACCACCGGUGCUCUGUGAUACGUCUUCUACGAGUCGAGUUGUUUGGGAAUGCAGCUCAAAAUGGGUGGUAAACUCCAUCUAAAGCUAAAUAUUGGUGGGAGACCGAUAGCGAACAAGUACCGUGAGGGAAAGAUGAAAAGCACUUUGGAAAGAGAGUUAAACAGUAUGUGAAAUUGUUGAAAGGGAAACGAUUGAAGUCAGUCGUGUUCAUUGGACUCAGCCGGCUCUGCCGGUCUACUUCCUUUGAACGGGUCAACAUCGGUUCUGGAUGACGGAUAAAGGCUGGAGGAAAGUAGCACCCCUCGGGGUGUGUUAUAGCCUCCUGUCGCAUACGUUGACCGGGACCGAGGAACGCAGCUCGCCUUUAUGGCCGGGGUUCGCCCACGUCCGAGCUUAGGAUGUUGACAUAAUGGCUUUAAACGACCCGUCUUGAAACACGGACC